rnacentral:lncRNA from 1 species
GGAUAAACAAAAAAAAAAAAAAAAAAACUUUCGUCAUUAAUAUAUAAAACAGCAAAACUAAGUAUUAAUUAUCAUGGGAACACCAUAAGCCAUCCAAACACAAUCAUCCCAAUUGAAAGCCUUCCUCAUUAUAAAUGUUCUGUAACCAUGUAAAUCAUCAUAAUUCAAACUAAAUCUCAUGAAAAUUUAACAAUACAGACACUGCACGACUCAUCAUUGCACAAAAUACAAGAUACAGUCAUAUAAAAAAAGAAAAAAAAAAAAGGAAUUUUAAACCUCGAAUUUCGCCACUCGGUCUAAGAUGGAAUUAAUUAUAACUCACAAGAAAAGACCUGGGAAGGCAACCGCCAAGCUUCAUAUUUCGAAAAACACAUGUCAUCCAGAGCGUCGCUUUUGCACCAUCGACAAUUUGGAAUCUUGGCGCACUCGGAUCUGGAGCCCAAUUGCCCACAAUCACUUGGUGAGUCGACCCGAUCAUCGUUCUUGAUAGUCCUAUAAGCAGAAGCUCGUGGUUCGGAUAAUGUACUUCCGAUUUGAUUCGGAACACCGGCGACAGAUACGACGACGUUUGAUGGAGUAGAGGAAGAGAUUAAUACUAAAAAUACGCAGAAAUAUAAGCUUAAACGAUUAACUAUUUCCAUUACGGUCAUUAACAAUAUAGAGUUUAUGUAAUUGGGAAUUGUAGUUUUGGGAAAAGAAACAGUAGAAAAUUUGAAGGAAAAAAAUUGGAAAAUCUUCGGGGCGUUUUGAUCUGUGUUGGUGUAAAAUUAGCAUCAGGUGAAUUCACAUGUAAAUAAAGAUAAGGAAAAAGAACCUAGAGAGGUAUUUCAUAUAACGGGGAAGAUUAAAACUCAGAAAAACCAAAAAUGGCCCAUGCAGG